rnacentral:rRNA from 1 species
AUGUCGACUGCAGGGAUAAUCAAGGUCUCCGCUGCGUGUCCCAUCUUUGAUGGCACUGAAUAUCCCUACUGGAAGAAUAGGAUGCGCAUGCAUCUUGAUGCAAUUGAUGUCGAUCUGUGGUAUGUCGUCAAGAAUGGCGUUCCCAAGACUGGUGAAGGUGUCACCCCCACUGAUGUGAAGAAGUUCAUUCAACUGGAUUCUACUGCCAAGAACAUCAUCUGUGGUCAUUUGACCAAAGGGCAGUAUGGCCGUGUGAGCGCUCUGGAAACGUCGAAGCUAGUCUGGGACUGGCUCUCCAAGGUCAAUGAAGGCGUCUCAACACAACGUGAUCAACGAAUCAGUACUCUUCACAACCUCUUCAACCGCUUCAAAAGGCACGAUAACGAGAACGUCCAGCUCCGUUUGACCGCCUCACUGAUAUCACCAAUGAGCUCAGUGCACUCGGUGGAACUGACAUUAUGA